rnacentral:rRNA from 1 species
GACGAACGCUGGCGGCGUGCUUAACACAUGCAAGUCGAGCGGUAAGGCCUUUCGGGGUACACGAGCGGCGAACGGGUGAGUAACACGUGGGUGAUCUGCCCUGCACUUCGGGAUAAGCCUGGGAAACUGGGUCUAAUACCGGAUAUGACCUCCUAUCGCAUGGUGGGUGGUGGAAAGAUUUAUCGGUGCAGGAUGGGCCCGCGGCCUAUCAGCUUGUUGGUGGGGUAAUGGCCUACCAAGGCGACGACGGGUAGCCGACCUGAGAGGGUGACCGGCCACACUGGGACUGAGACACGGCCCAGACUCCUACGGGAGGCAGCAGUGGGGAAUAUUGCACAAUGGGCGAAAGCCUGAUGCAGCGACGCCGCGUGAGGGAUGACGGCCUUCGGGUUGUAAACCUCUUUCAGCAGGGACGAAGCGCAAGUGACGGUACCUGCAGAAGAAGCACCGGCUAACUACGU